rnacentral:tRNA from 12 species
GCCGACAUAGCUCAGCGGUAGAGCAACUGAUUCGUAAUCAGUAGGUCCCCAGUUCAAUCCUGGGUGUCGGCACCA